AUUCUUCACUACUUAAGAUUUUAUAGAGCACACUCAUUGAAAAGAAAACAUCUUAAUGCCACCUCUUGUAUCUUUGUUUGUAGUUUCUGUAAUCCCAAAACAGCAGCUGUGGUCUGUCUGUAUUUGGUUCAGUUACAGGACUAGUUUUGUGUUCUUCUUGCAGAUAUUGCUCAAAUGGCCAUUUUCACCAAGAUUGAUCAGGCCUGUCCUGAAAUAAAAGAUGUCAAGAAUGUCUACAAGGUCAAGUUCGCUGAGGAAUAAAAUGGAAAAGUUCAGUGUAGAUGUCGGAAUUCCAAUAAACUGCAUCUUCCCUGUGAAGAACUACCAUGAAAGUAUUCGACCUCAACAGUGACAUUAACUCACUGAUCCCGAGCGCCCUGAGAAACAUCAUCACCUUCGGAGAUGAUUGCAUCAACUUCCACAGUCCUAAAAUUGAAAUUUGGAGGUCAAUAAACUGGGGAGACAAACCGAGACAGAAGGAUCUGCAGUAUGUGAAGGACUAUAAACCUCAGACUGAAGGCCAGCAGCUCAUGAUUCUUCUUCAUGGAC